UGCAUCGGCCGGGAAUCGAACCCAGGCCGCGCGCGUGGCAGGCGAGCAUUCUACCACUGAACCACCGAUGC